CCUUUGUGAUCGGAAUAUGGUCUGAAAAAACUCGUAAAGUUUGUGUUGUCAUAGGCUUCAUCUCCCAUGCUCAGGAGCUAGGAGUUGAAUAACAGCAGUUAAUUC